ensembl:lncRNA
CAGCUGCUCUCUGUAGCUGCCUUCUGCCUCUCCUUCCUGCAGGGCGCUUGGGCUCACAGGCACCCUCCCAGACCUAGCUCAGUUUCCUCUGAGUUGCCAAGACAGUCAUGGGAUGUACCCUGCACCUUCCAGAUGCUGGUGAAGAAGUCCCAAGGCGGGAUUGAGAAGGUAGGGCCUCAUCUCUGAUCAGCUGAAAAUCUGGGCCUCACUCUGGCCAACAAACCUAAGAAUGGAAAGUUUCUUUAAUUAAAGAAGAUCCUCCAAAAGGUGAUUUGCAGGCUGAUCCUGUGCAAGGUGGUUCCUGUCCCCAGACCAUUGACUUGGUCAACCAGUGUCCACAGGUGGGUCCUCGAGGCAUCCAUGAAGAGGGCUCCACAUGGCCUUCCCUUGGAGUGAGGUUUAGUCUCAUCAGAUCUUCAGAAAGGACGUUGUGGCUGUUCCCAGCAGUGGGUGAACAUGGUUUCCCCCAGGCGCCCACAAAGAAGUCUCCAGCAAACAUCUGUUUGGGGCAGCUCUGUGCUCACCACCCCUUCCAAGAGGAGGCCCUGGGCCUGAGGUUACUGGCACCUGUCACACUGGUGAUCCGGAGCAGCCCCCAAAUGCUAGGAGUAGAGGAGAUGAAAACCUCAGCCACCCUCAUCCUUGGGACACUUGCUGAGACAAAUCACCUGUCCUUCUCCAUGGCUUGUCAUCCUGUAUCUCUGUAAUAGGCCUCCCGUUAAUUCUCAUCAAAUAAACCGAAAGGC